rnacentral:lncRNA from 13 species
CAUAAUUCCCACCUGUGGAGGGAUGGACCUGGUAGGAGGUGAUUGAAUCCUGGGGGUGGUUUUUCCCCUUGCUGUUCUCGUGAUAGUGAGUGAGUUCUCACGAGAUCUAAUUGCUCUAUAAAUGGCGGUUUCCCCUAGGCGCCUCUCUUCCUUCUACACUGUGAGAAAGAGGCUGGCUACUUCUUCGCUUUCUGCCAUGAUUUUAAGUUUCCUGAGGCCUCCCCCGCUAUGUGGAACUAUGCUUCUUUACUGCUAAAGGAAAUGCUUUGUGGUGGUGACAUUGUGGGCUAUGAGGCUAACAAAGGGAUGUAAAAAUAUAUGCUUCAAUUUUUACCAAGAAGUGUAUUAAAAUUUGUAAGUUUCAAAAAUUAUUAUUUUUGACAACAUGAAACAGUUUUAAUAUUUGCAAAGAAUUAAGGGCAUCAACAUAUAAUACCUCAUAAUGUUUGCCAGUUUUCACAUGAUGCUUGUUAUAAAUAGCUUUUGCUAAAUUAGAUGAUAUGAGAUUGGUAAUACUGAAUGACUCACCGAAAAUAUUUUGCACCUCCCUGAUUUAUGAAAGGAAAACAGCCAAUUAGCACUAUUAAAAAGAUGAUCUGCACUUUGGGGGCGGAGGUGGGUAUAUCAUGAGGUCAGGAGAUUGAGACCAUCCUGGCUAACACAGUGAAACCCUAUCACUACUAAAAAUACAAAAAAAUUAGAGGGGCAUGGUGGCUCGUGACUAUAGUCUCAGCUACUUGGGAGGCUGAGGCAGGAGAAUCAAUUGAACCCAGGAGGCAGAGGUUGCAGUGAGCACAGAUCAUAACACUGCAAUCCAGCCUGAGUGACAGAGAGACACUCCAUCUAAAAAAAAAAUGACAAAAAGGAUAUCUGUUACAUCUAACAAAUCUCCUUCAAGUUUCCAUGUCCUGAAUAGAUUUUUAAAUUUUUUUGCAUAUUUUGAUUGAUAUAUCAUAGUUUUACAUACGUUGGGUAGUAUAUGUGAUAUUUGGAUACAUAUAUCAAUUAUGUAAUAUUCAAAUCAAGGACUUUGGGAUGUCUGUCACUUCAAACACUUAUAUUUUCUUUGUGUCAGAAACAUUACACCUGAAAUCUUUUCUUUCCUUAAUUAGUAAAUUUAAAAGUAAG